UUAUGAGUUACAUCUUUCCCCCCCCCCCCCCCCCCUUCCACUUAACAGUGAACAAAUCUACAGAAACUCAAUGUGUUAUUUUUUAUUUUUUUUUAACAUUGAUAUCUUUGGCCCUCCAUUACAAUCCAAAUGGUAGGUAUGUGUGUAUAUUGAUCAUUUAGAGUUUAGGUAUUCAUAAGCAGUUGAAUGAUGAUUUGGAAAUAGACAUUGAGCAAUGAAUCAUUCUUACCUGGCAUCUUUAGGCCAAACAUUUUUUUUUAUAUGGAUGAAUGUUUCUUGAAAUUUCUACAAAAAUUAGUCUUUUUUUUAACCAGAUAAAAGUGCAAAAUCAGAUACAAUUAAUGAGAUAAUUAGAUUUAACGUACAUUUAAAAAUAUCUAUGUUAUAGAAUUAUUUUACAAAAACUUUCAAAGCAUUAUUAAUAAUUUAGAAUAAUGCUUUGAAAACUAGAUCAAAUAUGGAUAACUUGUAAUAACUAUAAUUCAUACUUCAGAUGUAGUGGAGGGUCUUGUCUUUAAUUUCCAGUGAUUGUUUUAACCAAUAUGUCUCUCAAAUGAUUUUCAAAAAAGUUGAAGUGCAAUUUCUAUUGACAAAAUUAUGUAAGGAUUUUGUUGACCAACUGCCUCGUGAAUGAAAGAAAUAAUAAUUUACACAGAUUUAUUUAUGCACAUUUCUCUGUGAUAUUUUAAAACACACAAGCCUAUUUUUUUCUGUCUAUUUAUAUUUAGGUUAUGUCUAUACCUUUUAUAUGGAAAUAUUCAUUGACUAAUUACUUAUGUAUACAUUUGUACCAAUGCUGUAAUAACUAGCUGUACUAAAAUAUGUCCAGUUUUAUUUUCACUUCAUAACUCUUUCUCUCUUAACGAUAAUAUCUUCGUUGAUUUGAUGCCAUUCUUUCAGCCAAAUCGAUAUUAGUCAAUGCUUAAAGUUAAAUAUUUUGUUUUAUUUCCUCCCAAAAUGUUUUUAUUUGCUUAAAAUUUUAUCUUGAAUAGUUUCCCUUUGUAAGACAUCCAGAUUUUUUUCAUUUUUAUACAUUUUAAGAAGUUGGGGGCUUUAAAAAAGUCUCUAUUUUCUUUAGAUUUUUUAUUUCUUUGGGGGUAAUGACAUCGGACAAUAAGCUCAAGCCAAUAAUUUUAUAUGUUUUAGAUGCUUUAUCAAAAUGACUAUAUUAAAUAAUAAUUUAUUUUAACUUGAAUCGUAAAAAUAUUACCAAAAUCUAGUUCUAAUGAAUUUUGCCCACAGUCUGUAAGUUUUAAUUUUUAAAUUCCAUAAUCCAAAAUUAAAUAAAAUAUUGGUUUUAUAAACAUUUUGUUUAUAUAGAAAGGGCAUGCAUUCCCUUUUAUCUUUCUACCAAAUAUAACAUUGUCUGAUAACAAAUAAAAAAAGUUACUGUACUUUAAUCUUAACAGCGUAGUUCAAUACAAAAGUGCAAAAUGGAUUGUUCCAUUGGAACGUGAAAAUAAUUCCAGAGAGAAAUAGUUAAACCAAAUUAUUGUACUGAGUUCAAGCAGGUGUUCAGCUAUUGACUUUUGUUGAAUUCUUUGAUGGUUUAUAUUAUUUAAAAGCAAGAAAAAAUAUUAAAACUGCUUUGGAUUGAAAGGUAAAGAACUUCUGAAAGGUAAAGAACUUCUUGAAGUAAUGAUACUUAUGUGCCUGAGCGAGACCAUUCUGUUCUUAUGAAAGUAUGGUACUAAAUGUGACCCACUCUUAAGCAUGGAAGCCAGCAAAGAUUUAUUCUAGUUAAUAUCUGAAAAUUGUUAUACAAAAAAAAAAAAAAAAAAAAAAG